rnacentral:tRNA from 1 species
GAGAAAGAAGCAUGGUGGUUAUGCGGCUAGUUUGAAACUAGUAGAAGGUGGUUCGACUCCCCCGUUUCUUG